GGAUCGCAGGCUGCAACCCGCCUGCGUGAAGUUGGAAUCGCUAGUAAUCGCGGAUCAGCAUGCCGCGGUGAAUACGUUCCCGGGCCUUGUACACACCGCCCGUCACACCAUGGGAGCCGGAAAUGCCCGAAGUCAGUGACCCAACCGCAAGGAGGGAGCUGCCGAAGGUGGAGCUGGUAACUGGGGUGAAGUCGUAACAAGGUACC
rnacentral:rRNA from 1 species